CAUCUUUUUGUCCACCCUUAGAUGCUAAUUGAACAAUUUGCUUAUUGGAUAGUGAUUUGCCCAAUGAAUAGUUCUCAUCAGAGAUUUGGGUAACCAAAGAAAGGGCAAGAGGAGCGGUUUUCUUUGAUUUGACGAGGUGGUAAUAUUUCUCGGUGGCUUUCCACCACGUAGCAACAGAUGGUUGGGCAGUGGUGGGUUCGGUAGAAGAAAUGGAAGUAAUGAAAUCGGAGACAAUGGCACGGCUGGGCAGGUUUGAAGUUACCGUACCAGAUGAUGUUGACAGAAAUUUUUCCAGCAAGAAGAGGGCCAUUGUGGUAUUGAAAGAGCAAGGGCUGUUGGGUUUGAUCAGACUCUGCGAGUCUUCUUACUGCUGAGCUGAAAUGAACAAGAGAAACAAAUAAAAGGAGCUUAAGCAGGAAAUGAGAGGCACCAAAAGAGGCCAUAAUAAUAGAUUUUAAACAAGAUUAAUAUUGAAGGAAAAUAAACGAAGUGAGCG
rnacentral:misc_RNA from 1 species